rnacentral:rRNA from 1 species
CCCCGGCGCCCCGAGUGGCAAUCGCGAUUAUUGGGCCUAAAGCGUCCGUAGCCGGAUGGGUAAAUCCUCUGUGAAAUCGCAGCGCUUAACGUUGCGGCGCGCAGGGGAAACUGCCUGUCUCGAGACCGGGAAGGGUCAGAGGUAUGCCGUGGGGACUGGUAAAAUGGUAUAAUCCACGGUAGACCACCAAUGGCGAAGGCAUCUGACCGGAACGGAUCUGACGGUGAGGGACGAAAGCUGGGGGA